rnacentral:rRNA from 1 species
UACGGAGGAUGCGAGCGUUAUCCGGAUUUAUUGGGUUUAAAGGGUGCGUAGGCGGAUCGUUAAGUCAGUGGUCAAAUUGAGGGGCUCAACCCCUUCCCGCCAUUGAAACUGGCGAUCUUGAGUGGAAGAGAAGUAUGCGGAGUGCGUGGUGUAGCGGUGAAAUGCAUAGAUAUCGCGCAGAACCCCGAUUGCGAAGGCAGCAUGCCGGCUUCCUACUGACGCUGAAGCACGAAAGCGUGGGGAUCGAACAGG